rnacentral:rRNA from 1 species
CGGGAACAGCUCAAAUUUGAAAUCUGGCCCUUGGGUCCGAGUUGUAAUUUGCAGAGGAUGCUUUUGGUGCGGUGCCUUCCGAGUUCCCUGGAACGGGACGCCUUAGAGGGUGAGAGCCCCGUACGGUUGGCCACCAAGCCUGUGUAAAGCUCCUUCGAC